rnacentral:lncRNA from 1 species
AGAAGCAUAUCCUAGAGAGAGCAACAACAAUCUCAAUAAGGUAACAGAACGGCGCUAUUAUUUACUAUCACCUCUAGCAAAAUGAGUUUUUCCGCCUUCUGUCGCUUGAAUACUCAGUGAGUACCAGGUC